GGCGAACGCUGGCGGCGUGCCUAAUACAUGCAAGUCGAACGCUGAAGAGAGGAGCUUGCUCUUCUUGGAUGAGUUGCGAACGGGUGAGUAACGCGUAGGUAACCUGCCUUGUAGCGGGGGAUAACUAUUGGAAACGAUAGCUAAUACCGCAUAACAAUGGAUGACACAUGUCAUUUAUUUGAAAGGGGCAAUUGCUCCACUACAAGAUGGACCUGCGUUGUAUUAGCUAGUAGGUGAGGUAAUGGCUCACCUAGGCGACGAUACAUAGCCGACCUGAGAGGGUGAUCGGCCACACUGGGACUGAGACACGGCCCAGACUCCUACGGGAGGCAGCAGUAGGGAAUCUUCGGCAAUGGGGGCAACCCUGACCGAGCAACGCCGCGUGAGUGAAGAAGGUUUUCGGAUCGUAAAGCUCUGUUGUAAGUCAAGAACGGGUGUGAGAGUGGAAAGUUCACACUGUGACGGUAGCUUACCAGAAAGGGACGGCUAACUACGUG
rnacentral:rRNA from 1 species